rnacentral:lncRNA from 1 species
GAAUAAAUUUGGUGGUUAUAUAUGCAAAGAACGAAAAAAACCAUGCAAUGCAGUUGAUUCAAUUGGUUUUGAGAAACUAUGGUUGAACGGUGUUGUUGGGGUUUACAAUUUCAUCUUAUCCACUCUCAUAUAUCCACUCUUCUUAUUUACUUCACUUAUUUAUCUAAUUGCCAUGCAAACUUUCUAGUAUACCCUUAACCCAAUCCCUUGGUGAAAAGAGCCUAUUAUUAAUUACCGGCUUGCUAUCCCUAGCCUCCCCUAGUAACCAAUAAUGCAAUGCGUUCGGAAGCAAAUACAAUUAAUC